UCCGCAAUGGUGUAAUGGCUAACAUCAGUCGCUCUCACCGACUAGCUCGGGGUUCGAUUCCCCGUUGCGGAA